rfam:Anaerostipes sp. 992a contig000004, whole genome shotgun sequence.
AACUUCCUGGGGUGUACGACAGCCUGCGUAUUUUGAACCUACAUUUACGUGAAACGGGAUUUCUAUAUUCCUGGUGGAAUGUCAAGCCUCCGUUGGCAGUGGAAGACAGGAAGCCUGGUGCGAUCGCCCACCUAGCAUUGGCUAGGCGUCAAAAUCGUGGGAACGGCAUUUUGGGAAGUUU